GCGGCGUGCCUAAUACAUGCAAGUCGAACGGAGGAGUAGCAAUACUUUCUCAGUGGCGAACGGGUGAGUAACGCGUUGGUGACCUGCCCCGAAGUGGGGGACAACAGCUCGAAAGGGCUGCUAAUACCCCAUGUGAUCAUCGGUUUUAGAAUCUGGUGAUUAAAGGAGUAAUUCGCUUCGGGAGGGGCCUGCGUCCCAUCAGCUAGUUGGUAAGGUAACGGCUUACCAAGGCGAUGACGGGUAGGGGACCUGAGAGGGUGACCCCCCACAAUGGAACUGAAACACGGUCCAUACACCUACGGGUGGCAGCAGUAGGGAAUAUUGGUAAUGGGCGAAAGCCUGAACCAGCAACGCCGCGUGUGCGAUGAAGGCCUUCGGGUUGUAAAGCACUUUUUGAGGGGAUGAGGAAGGACAGUACCCUCAGAAUAAGUCUCGGCUAACUACGUGCCAGCAGCCGCGGUAACACGUAGGAGACUAGCGUUAUCCGGAUUUACUGGGCGUAAAGCGCGUGCAGGUGGCUCGGAAAGUUCGAUGUGAAAGCUCCCGGCUUAACUGGGAGAGGUCGUUGAAUACUUUCGGGCUAGAGGAUGGGAGAGGGAGGCGGAAUUCCGGGUGUAGUGGUGAAAUGCGUAGAUAUCCGGAGGAACACCAGUGGCGAAAGCGGCCUCCUGGCCCAUUUCUGACACUCAGACGCGAAAGCUAGGGUAGCAAACGGGAUUAGAGACCCCGGUAGUCCUAGCUGUAAACGAUGUAGACUUGGCGUUGGCGGGUUCAAAUCCGUCAGUGCCGAAGCUAACGCGAUAAGUCUACCGCCUGGGGACUACGGCCGCAAGGUUAAAACUCAAAGGAAUUGACGGG
rnacentral:rRNA from 1 species